UCUAUUUUUUAAAAGAUUUGAUUUAUUUACUUGAGAGUGUGACAGAGCACAAGGGGGGGAUCAGCAGAGGCUGAGGGAGAAGCAGGCUCCCCGCUGAGCGGGAAGCCCGAUGUAGGACUCGAUCCCAGGACUUUGGGAUCAUGACCUGAGCUGAAGGCAGGUGCUUCACCCAUUGAGCCACCCAAGUGUCCUUAAAAUUGAUUUUAUUAGUAAGGCUCUUUCCACAAGUUCGGAGAAAACAAGUAAGAGUUCCAAGGGGAAAAAAAAAUCCAUAUACAGUGAAAUGAAAACUAUCCCAGGAUGACAAAAAAUAUCUAUAACUAUGUACACCCAUAAUCACUGCCGCCUCAGAGAACCUUUGAUCCCUCUGACCUUCUUUAGCUUCCUCUUUUGCUUCCUGAUAGGAUUCUGACCCUCAUAGAGAUGAGGGGUUCUUUCUGCCAAAGCACUGAUGUCACUAACAUGCAGGAAAGACUAUCAAAGGAUUUAACAAGAAGAAUCUGGAAAAAACACCCAAGUGGAUGUGAAUUUGAAGGGAGACACCAGUGUCUGUGCUGGGGUUCGAAUGAAUGAGGAUUCGGCUGAACCGUUUUGUCUCUGCAGGUGGCAGGGCUGCGGGGAACUGAAAUAGCCCGAUCAAAGGAUGAAACGCAGUUCACCUCUGGGACUUGCAACCAGCAUUGCUUUCAUUCAGAUGUAGGAAUUCAAGGGGGCCUGGAGCCCCAGGCACCUACCGAAUAGGAAUUGGUCACUUAGUCCCGGAAGGCCUGCCAAGGCCAAGGCCAAAUCACCAAGGAAUGAACCAGAAGCAAAUUCACAUGGGCUUCCCAGCCCACCCUUUCCCCCUGGGCCUUCACAGCAGGUCUUGGUGAGAAACCCUGUUUUGCAGAUGCCUUGAUGGAGGUGGAUGGGAUCUGACGUAUCAAGGGAUUAUGUAUCCUGUCCUAAAUUCAGGAAAAGAUCUCCUCUCCAUCAAGAUUGAAAAUAGUUUUGUUAAAGGGAAACUCAGAAACGUUAUGGAAAGACAGAUGAAGAAGGAGCAGAGGGGCACCUGGGGGGGUUGAGCGGCUGCCUUUGGCUCAGGGCGUGAACCCAGGGUCCUGGGAUUGAGUCUCACAUGGGGCUCCCCGCAGGGAGCCUGCUUCUCCCUCUGCCUGGGUCUCUGCCUCUCUCUCUGUGUCUCUCAUGAAUAAAUAAAUAAAAUAUAAAAAAAAUAAAAUAAAA
rnacentral:lncRNA from 12 species